AUGGCGGCCUCUAGCUCGACAUUAUCCGAAAUAAAUACCUGCGGGGCCAGCCAGAAAUCGGGUGGCUCCCAGUUCUGGCAGUCUAUUGUUCAGCUUCUCCCGGUGCUUCACAUUGGGACCUCCAUCUCGGUGGGGUCCGGCCUCUCGACGCUCUUCUGGUUUGAUCGUUGGGCCGGAGACUCCCCCUUUGCGGCCCGCUUCCCCGCCCUCUUCUCUAUCUCCGUCGACCCCAUGAUUUCGGUCAAUCGGUCUCUUCUUGACCUGGGGCGCCUUGCUUUCCGUCGCCCUUUUGGGCCGGCGCAAUCCGCUGCCUGGCAUGAGUUGCUUGAUUGCGUCGCGUUGCACGAGCCGUUGGUGGAUGGCAGGUCGGACCGUGUCCGGUGGCGGCUGGAGCCGUCGGGCCUGUUCUCCACCAAGUCGCUUUACUCGGCCAUUUCCCCUUCCUCCGCCCUCCCCUUAUCGAUGGUUUGGUCCAUCCGCGUACCACUGAAGAUUCGCAUCUUCAUGUGGCAGUGGAUUCGCGGUCGGGUCCCGUCUGGAGUGUAG
rnacentral:rRNA from 1 species